GUCGGAAGUCCAAGCGGGCCUGGGCCGCCCAGGCUUGUGGGAGCUGUUAGCCGGCCCGGUGCCUGGGUGCGGGCGUCUCCCGGUCGUCCCGAUGCCGAGCCCGGGCCUUCUGGUGCUCUUCGGCAGCCAGACAGGCACGGCUCAGGAUGUGUCGGAGAGGCUGGGCCGCGAGGCUCGGCGCCGGCGGCUCGACUGCCGGGUGCAGGCCCUGGACUCUUACUCAGUGGUGAAUCUGAUUAAUGAGACCCUGGUGAUAUUUGUUUGUGCAACUACAGGCCAAGGAGAUCCCCCUGACAACAUGAAGAACUUCUGGAGGUUCAUAUUCCGGAAGAAUCUGCCACCGACCUCCCUCUGUCAGAUGGACUUUGCCGUCCUGGGCCUCGGCGACUCCUCGUAUGCCAAGUUCAAUUUUGUGGCCAAGAAGCUACACCGUCGGCUGCUGCAGCUUGGGGGCCGCGCCCUCCUGCCCGUGUGCCUGGGCGAUGACCAGCAUGAGCUGGGGCCUGAUGCUGCCAUCGACCCUUGGCUGCCCGAUCUAUGGGGGAAGGUGCUGGGGCUGUACCCCGUGCCCCUUGACCUUGGCACGAUCCCCGCCGGAGUCCCUUUGCCCUCCAAGUUCACGCUGCACUUCCUCCCGGUGGCCCCCAGGGUGUGCUCUGAGGGGCAGCGCGCGGCUGGCACAGAGCCUCAAGGUCCCCCAUCCGAGCAGCAGCCCUUCCUGGCACCCAUGGUCACCAACCAGAGAGUCACCGGCCCCUCGCACUUCCAGGACGUUCGGCUGAUGGAGUUCGACAUCACAGGCUCUGGGCUCAGCUUUGCAGCUGGCGACGUGGUGCUGAUCCAGCCUGAGAACGCGGCCAGCCACACCCAGCGGUUCUGCCAGGUGCUGGGCCUGGACCCAGAGCAGAACUUCACCCUGCUGCCCCGGGAGCCAGGUGUGCCCUGCCCUGCGCGGCUGCCCCAGCCCUGCUCCGUGAGGCACCUUGUGUCCCACUACCUGGACAUUGCCAGUGUGCCCCGCCGUUCCUUCUUUGAGCUCCUGGCCUGUCUCUCUCCCCAUGAGCUGGAGCGGGAGAAGCUGCUGCACUUCAGUUCCCCCCAAGGUCAGGAAGAGCUGUACUCCUACUGCAACCGGCCUCGCAGGACCAUCCUGGAGGUGCUGUGUGACUUCCCGCACACGGCCGGAGCCGUCCCCGCAGACUACCUCCUGGACCUCAUCCCCCCGAUCCGCCCACGGGCCUUCUCCAUUGCCUCCUCUCUGCUGGCUCACCCCUCGAGGCUGCAGAUUCUCGUGGCUGUGGUGCAGUACCAGACCCGCCUCAAGGAGCCCCGCCGGGGCCUCUGCUCCUCCUGGCUGGCGUCGCUGGAUCCUGGGCAAGGACCUGUCCAGGUGCCACUGUGGGUGCGGCCUGGGGGCCUGACCUUCCCACAGACACCAGGCACACCUGUAAUCAUGGUGGGCCCUGGCACUGGCGUGGCCCCUUUCCGAGCAGCUGUCCAGGAGCGCGUGGCCCAGGGUCAGAGCGGAAACGUUUUGUUCUUUGGCUGCCGCUUGCGCGACCAGGACUUCUACUGGGAGGCUGAGUGGAUGGAGCUGGAGGGGAGGGGCUGCCUGACACUCUUCACGGCCUUCUCCCGGGAACAGUAGGAGCGGAAGGUGUACGUGCAGCAUCGGCUCCGAGAGCUCGGGCCGCUGGUGUGGGAGCUGCUGGACCGCCAGGGUGCCUACUUCUACCUGGCAGGCAACGCCAAGUGCAUGCCAGCAGACGUGGCAGAAGCCCUGACAUCGGUCUUCCAGGAGCAGGGGGGACUCUCGGCCCCUGAUGCAGCUACCUACCUUGCCAGGCUCCAGCGGACGCUGCGUUUCCAGAGUGAGACGUGGGCUUAAGGAGCCGUCCUGCCGGCCUCGGCCACUCUAGCCACUGCCCUCCGGGGGGCCACCAUCACCUCCCACCCUGUCCCCUGCACAGCCUCGCUCCGGUCCACCUGGGGUCCCAUACUCGGCCCCGACACCACUGCCCACUCACCACCCCACCCUGCCCCCAUCCAGGGUUCCUGCUGGCCUUGCCCCACUGGCCCCCACUUGGGUCCUGAUCAGGGUGGUCCCUGGGCUGCAUCACCCUGUGUAGGGACGGUGCCUCAGGAAGGAGCGGGCAACCUGAUGGACAUCAGGGGCUCCCCAGACAGCAUAGGAACCUGGGGUGCAGGGACCCCCAGUGAGCCUUCUGAGCUGGUGCAGGGUCCCUGGGAGUGCCCGAUGCCCCCCCCCCGCCAUUUGCCCUAGAGGACAGCAGGUCCCAGUCACCCUCUGCCACAAAGCACCCGGUGCUGCCUCAGGGCCUCACGGGGCCCGAAGUCAGUGAGGACCAGAGCAGUGGGAGGAGGCCCCCCAGCCAGUCAGACUUUCCCCGCCCCACUCCUGGAAAGCUUCAGUAAUAAAUUGUGGGUUCUGGGUGGCUGCUUCUGA